GGCCCGAUGGUUUAGUGGUAUAAUUCUCGCUUAGGGUGCGAGAGGUCCCGGGUUCAAUUCCCGGUUGGGCCC
rnacentral:tRNA from 7 species